rnacentral:rRNA from 1 species
UACGUAGGGGGCUAGCGUUGUCCGGAUUUAUUGGGCGUAAAGAGCGUGUAGGCGGCCAGGUAGGUCUGCUGUGAAAACUCGAGGCUCAACCUCGAGACGUCGGCGGAAACCAUCUGGCUAGAGUCCGGAAGAGGAGAGUGGAAUUCCUGGUGUAGCGGUGAAAUGCGUAGAGAUAUGGAGGAACACCAGUGGCGAAGGCGACUUUCUGGUCUGUAACUGACACUGAGGCGCGAAAGCGUGGGGAGCAAACAGG